CCUUCCAGCCCCGUCUCCCUCAUUCCACUAAACAGCCAUGCACCCCCCAGGUCCCAUCCCAAAACCCACUGCUACUGCCCUCCUAGUCCCAGACAUCCCUGCCCCUCUCCCAUCCACAUCCCCCAUCUAUUCUCACAAAAUGUACCCCAAAAUCCUUCAGCCUGCAUACAGUCAUUCAUAUUCCCAGUCCCCCUGCCACUGCACCCAUAAAUCCAACCACUGCCACCUGAAUAUUGCUCCUCCAAAACCCAUGUGUCCCCAAGUCAGCCAGGUGCCCCCCACAAAAUCCAUCACCACAGCUCAGAUGAUAUCUACUCCAACAUCCAACUCCCCCAAAAUAUCAAUCUAUCCAUAUCCCCAAAUACCCCCAGUCAUCUACCCUCACUCCCUCCAGGGAAGGAAGACACAAAACAGUCCCCAGCCCUGUGUGCCAGAGAAAGAAAAACCUCUGUGCUGGGCCUGCAGUUGGACCUGUUAUGUCUUGGCAUGGAGCUCGCACAGGCCAGUCUCCCACUACAUGUCUGGUCAAAUGGGAGGAGAUCAUGAGAGGCAAGGCCUGAGCUAUAAAGCUGGGAUUCCAACAUCCGCACCGUUUGGGGAAAUCUGGAUCCAGGAUUUGGAUGUCUACAGAAUGAUCCAUGGACUCACACCUUGUCAUCUGAUUGCAGGCAUAGCUAGGAACUGUGCUGUUAUGAGCACUUCUAAAGACUUUCUUGUGCAUCCCUAGGGGAAGAAGGGCUGUUUCGAUUCAUGCUUUCCUUAUCCUAAUAGUGCAUGAGGCAGGCUCAUAACAAUGAAAAUACUGCUGUGGGAGCCUAUAAAUGCAGAGAGCAAACUACGAUCCUGCAGCUAACCAUAGUAUAAACAGCAGGGAAGAGGAGAAUUACUCUGAAAUAUGAAGAGAACCAUUAGGAUCAUAGCUGAGAUAGAAAAGAACCUAUUGAAUCAGCCAGUCCACACCCCUGCCAGAGGCAAAUGGAGUCCUCCAACAGAGAAUAUAUCUGAUAUUAAAUUGACACUGCAUCUGAGCAUUACAAAUAUUGCUGGGAGGCACAAGUUGCCAGACAACAGCAGUGUAUCCUCUUUACCCUGUCCCCCACAAGCUGCAGAUGCUGCAUGGAAGAUACAACGGACAAUGACUUCUCAGAUAUCUGACACUCAU